rnacentral:rRNA from 1 species
AAUCAACGCUGGCGGCGUGCCUCAGACAUGCAAGUCGAACGCGAAAGUUUCCUCGGGAGAUGAGUAGAGUGGCGCACGGGUGAGUAACACGUGAGUAAUUUACCUCGGGUGGGGAAUACUAACCGGAAACGGUUGUUAAUACCGCAUAAUGCAGCGGCAUCAAUGAUGACAGUUGUUAAAGCGGGGAUUGGAGCAAUCCGACCUCGCGCCUGAAGAGAAGCUCGCGGCAGAUUAGCUAGUUGGUAAGGUAAUGGCUUACCAAGGCGACGAUCUGUAACCGGCCUGAGAGGGCGGUCGGUCA